UACGGAGGAUGCAAGCGUUAUUCGGAAUUAUUGGGCGUAAAGCGUCCGCAGGUGGUAAUUCAAGUCUGCUGUCAAAGACCGAAGCUUAACUUCGGAAAGGCAGUGGAAACUGAAUCACUAGAGUACGGUAGGGGUAGAGGGAAUUUCCAGUGUAGCGGUGAAAUGCGUAGAGAUUGGAAAGAACACCAGUGGCGAAGGCGCUCUACUGGACCGUAACUGACACUCAGGGACGAAAGCUAGGGUAGCGAAAGGG
rnacentral:rRNA from 1 species